rnacentral:lncRNA from 1 species
UGUAGAUAGUGUGUGGAAGGGUAUGCGUUCCUAAACGGUGAAGAAAGGAUAAUGAAAGGUUGCAGCGAAGGUGGAAGACGUUGGUGAGUUGCUGGUUUUGCUUGAAUGGGUUCAUAAAGGAUAUUGGGCCUAAUUGUGUCGUGAGCAAGUACAUAGAUGUCAUUUGGUCUUUUAGAAUGAUGUUUGUAGUCCACGAAAAAUGUUAGUAAAAUUGAUGAUGACAUGUCAGUUUCAUUGUCUAGCAAUAUUUUAUCUUACGUGGAUAGCUUUAGAAAUCUUCAAUUUAGUCCCUUUUAUAUAGCGGAUAUUGUACUAGCAUCAAUAUAAAUAUAUACAAUUUGGAUGUCCAAGAUACAAAAUAUUAUGUUUAACCGAUGCAAAUACAAGUACAACCAUAUUUAGGUCAAUGAAUGGAUUUUAAAGUACUAAAAAUAGCUUUAUUGGAUG